rnacentral:rRNA from 1 species
AGUGAACGCUGGCGGUAGGCCUAACACAUGCAAGUCGAACGGCAGCACAGUAAGAGCUUGCUCUUACGGGUGGCGAGUGGCGGACGGGUGAGGAAUACAUCGGCAUCUACUUUUUCGUGGGGGAUAACGUAGGGAAACUUACGCUAAUACAGCAUACGACCUACGGGUGAAAGCAGGGGAUCAUCGGACCUUGCGCGAUUGAAUGAGCCGAUGUCGGAUUAGCUAGUUGGUGGGGUAACGGCCCACCAAGGCGACGACCCGUAGCUGGUCUGAGAGGAUGAUCAGCCACACUGGAACUGAGACACGGUCCAGACUCCUACGGGAGGCAGCAGUGGGGAAUAUUGGACAAUGGGCGCAAGCCUGAUCCAGCCAUACCGCGUGGGUGAAGAAGGCCUUCGGGUUGUAAAGCCCUUUUGUUGGGAAAGAAAAGCAGCAGGUUAAUACCCCGCUGUUCUGACGGUACCCAAAGAAUAAGCACCGGCUAACUUCGUG